rnacentral:sRNA from 1 species
UCAUACAAAGUCAAUACUUCGAACUUUCCUUUGCUGUCAUAGAAAAAAAAUUAUAAUAAAUUAUUGACAAAACAAGUUAAACAACAAAAAAGAAAGCAAACCAAAAGUGAUUUUUCGGCGAAGCUAAACAAAUUAUUUCGUAUUGAGUUCUUUAUUUUGUAAUUGUAAAAAAAAACAACAAAAGAAAUUUGUAUUUUUUCCUCGUCUUAAAAACGUCAUUCAUUCAUUGUUCAUGCUGUGUCAUCAGUAAAGAAAAAAAUAUUGCUGUAAAAUUCGAAAAGUCGGAUAAAGAAAUUAGAAAAAAGAGAUUUUACAAAGAAAGCUGAAAUUUCGCCGUAAUUGUGGUGUUGAGUUACUGAUUAAUAACUUUGCGUGGGUUCGCCAUAUUUUUAAGUGUGAAAUACGUAUUCAAACAACAUAUUGUUAAGACCUGAGACUGCUGCCGCUGCUGCACCACACACAUUAAGUAUCUGUUCAUUUUCAUCAUUCCCAAAUUGUGAAGAUUUGUUGAGUGUUUGUAGUCCACUGCCGCCCUACCUCCCAAUUCCAGCCAGCCAGCUAGUUAGUCAGUUGAUCGAUCGUUCCAGCAUUGCAAAACACACAGCUGCUCAGGAGAAGAACAGCUUUCGGCCAGAAACAUUACAAAGUAAAAUAAAACUCCCGACCGACGAAAGUUCCACAAUCGAGUGUAACGCCCGUAUUUUUUUAGUUUUGUUUUCAUUAUAAUUUGUUGCCGUUUCUUGUUUGCUGCAUACAGGUGAG